rnacentral:rRNA from 1 species
CAAGUCGAGUGCGCGUUUCCGUAGCAAUACGGAAAUGGCGCACGGCGCACGGGUGCGUAACACGUGGGUAAUCUGCCCUUCGAUGGGGAAUAACUCGCCGAAAGGCGAGCUAAUUCCGCAUAACAUUCCUUGGACUCCGGUUCGAGGAUUCAAAGGCGUAAGUCGUCGGAGGUGGAGCCCGCGCACGAUUAGCUAGUUGGUGAGGUAAUGGCUCACCAAGGCUAUGAUCGUUAGCUGGUCUGAGAGGAUGGCCAGCCACACUGGAACUGAGACACGGUCCAGACUCCUACGGGAGGCAGCAGUGGGGAAUCUUGCACAAUGGGCGAAAGCCUGAUGCAGCGACGCCGCGUGGGGGAUGAAGCUUCUCGGAGUGUAAACCCCUUUCGACCGGGACGAAUACCUCGCAAGAGGGGUGACGGUACCGGUAUAAGAAGCCCCGGCUAACUACGUGCCAGCAGCCGCGGUAAGACGUAGGGGGCCAGCGUUGCUCGGAAUUACUGGGUGUAAAGGGUUCGUAGGCGGUGUGGCAAGUCGGGAGUGAAAUCUCUGGGCUCAACUCAGGGGCUGCUUCCGAAACUGCCGUGCUAGAGUGUGGGAGAGGCGCGUGGAAUUGCAGGUGUAGCGGUGAAAUGCGUAGAUAUCUGCAGGAACACCCGUGGCGAAAGCGGCGCGCUGGACCACUACUGACGCUGAGGAACGAAAGCUAGGGGAGCAAACAGGAUUAGAUACCCUGGUAGUCCUAGCCCUAAACGAUCAGGACUUGGGGUGCCACCCGUUCGGGUGUCGUCCCUGAGCUAACGCGUUAAGUCCUGCACCUGGGGAGUACGGUCGCAAGACUGAAACUCAAAGGAAUUGACGGGGGCCC